rnacentral:rRNA from 1 species
AAAGGAAUAGACGGGAGCCCGCACAAGCAGUGGAGUAUGUGGUUUAAUUCGAUGCAACGCGAAGAACCUUACCGGAGCUUGACAUCCACGGAAUGAAUCGUAAUGGAAUCAGUGCCCUUCGGGGAGCCGUGAGACAGGUGGUGCAUGGUUGUCGUCAGCUCGUGUCGUGAGAUGUUGGGUUAAGUCCCGCAACGAGCGCAACCCUUAUGAUAAGUUGCUAACACGCCGCAAGGUGGUGAGCACUCUAAUCAGACUGCCGUUGACAAAACGGAGGAAGGUGGGGACGACGUCAAAUCAUCAUGCCCCUUAAGCCCCGGGCUACACACGUACUACAAUGGCGCAAACAGAGGGGAGCGAACACGCGAGUGGGAGCAAAUCCCAAAAAUGCGCCCCAGUUCGGAUUGCAGGCUGAAACUCGCCUGCAUGAAGAUGGAAUUGCUAGUAAUCGCGGAUCAGAAUGCCGCGGUGAAUACGUUCCCGGGCUUUGUACACACCGCCCGU